rnacentral:rRNA from 1 species
AUGAACGCUAGCUACAGGCUUAACACAUGCAAGUCGAGGGGCAGCAUGGUCUUAGCUUGCUAAGACUGAUGGCGACCGGCGCACGGGUGAGUAACACGUAUCCAACCUGCCGUCUACUCUUGGACAGCCUUCUGAAAGGAAGAUUAAUACAAGAUGGCAUCAUGAGUCCGCAUGUUCACAUGAUUAAAGGUAUUCCGGUAGACGAUGGGGAUGCGUUCCAUUAGAUAGUAGGCGGGGUAACGGCCCACCUAGUCUUCGAUGGAUAGGGGUUCUGAGAGGAAGGUCCCCCACAUUGGAACUGAGACACGGUCCAAACUCCUACGGGAGGCAGCAGUGAGGAAUAUUGGUCAAUGGGCGAGAGCCUGAACCAGCCAAGUAGCGUGAAGGAUGACUGCCCUAUGGGUUGUAAACUUCUUUUAUAAAGGAAUAAAGUCGGGUAUGUAUACCCGUUUGCAUGUACUUUAUGAAUAAGGAUCGGCUAACUCCGUGCCAGCAGCCGCGGUAAUACGGAGGAUCCGAGCGUUAUCCGGAUUUAUUGGGUUUAAAGGGAGCGUAGAUGGAUGUUUAAGUCAGUUGUGAAAGUUUGCGGCUCAACCGUAAAAUUGCAGUUGAUACUGGAUAUCUUGAGUGCAGUUGAGGCAGGCGGAAUUCGUGGUGUAGCGGUGAAAUGCUUAGAUAUCACGAAGAACUCCGAUUGCGAAGGCAGCCUGCUAAGCUGCAACUGACAUUGAGGCUCGAAAGUGUGGGUAUCAAACAGGAUUAGAUACCCUGGUAGUCCACACGGUAAACGAUGAAUACUCGCUGUUUGCGAUAUACGGCAAGCGGCCAAGCGAAAGCGUUAAGUAUUCCACCUGGGGAGUACGCCGGCAACGGUGAAACUCAAAGGAAUUGACGGGGACCCGCACAAGCGGUGGAGCAUGUGGUUUAAUUCGAAGCAACGCGAAGAACCUUACCUGCUCUUGACAUCCCACUGACAGGUCAGUAAUGUGACCCUUUCUUCGGAACAGUGGUGACAGGUGGUGCAUGGUUGUCGUCAGCUCGUGUCGUGAGAUGUUGGGUUAAGUCCCGCAACGAGCGCAACCCUUAUUGCCAGUUACUACGAAAGAGGACUCUGGCGAGACUGCCGUUGACAAAACGGAGGAAGGUGGGGAUGACGUCAAAUCAGCACGGCCCUUACGUCCGGGGCUACACACGUGUUACAAUGGGGGGUACAGAGGGCCGCUACCACGCGAGUGGAUGCCAAUCCCAAAAACCUCUCUCAGUUCGGACUGGAGUCUGCAACCCGACUCCACGAAGCUGGAUUCGCUAGUAAUCGCGCAUCAGCCACGGCGCGGUGAAUACGUUCCCGGGCCUUGUACACACCGCCCGUCACACCAUGAGAGCCGGGGGGACCCGAAGUCGAUAGUCUAACCGCAAGGAGGACGUCGCCGAAGGUAAAACUGGUGAUUGGGGUG